AUCCAGAGACCACACUAAAAUGGUGGCUGACGUGGAGACAGAGGAAGCUCCUUUCUAGUUAUGGCCACAAGGCAGGAUGCUGAGGUGUUGUCUAGAGAGGAUUAUUGGCAACUGGCACCACCCCCAUGUCUGGAGGAGGGACGUUUCUAGGAUGACCCCCAGAGUGGAGAAAUAGCCGAGCUCAUGAGGCAACCCACACAGGCAGGCUGGAGAGGAGUGGCAAGAAGCUCACCUUCGGACAGUAGUGAGCAGAGCAACAGAGGCCCCCAGAGACUUCGCACAACGGAAAAGAGAUCAACUCCCGCAUUUGCAGGGGACGUGAAAGUGCAAUACUGUGAGGAACAAAAGGAAGCCUCAUCUCUGGAAGCCGGGAGGAAAAACAGUCGGUGUAGACAGCAGCGGCAGGGACCAGAGCUGACCAGAAGGCUGGGUCCCAGCAACAAUUAGAGACAGGCAGCAGCUGAGGCCCCUUCUCUGAGAACCAUUUCAAUUGCACAGUGGCCACAGAAGGCUCCAUUGGCCCGGCAGCCAGCUCUGCAGAGCCAUUUGUCCACAAGGAAAAUAAUAGCCCCGGCCUCAUUGCUUUGGGCUGCAGGGAGGACAAUGACCCACCAUGAAAAGAGUUAAAAAGAUUCUGGGGAAGGGGAAAGGCAGGCCCACACGGUGGCAAUUCAAG
rnacentral:lncRNA from 1 species